GGGCCCGCACAAGCGGUGGAGCAUGUGGUUUAAUUCGAUGCAACGCGAAAAACCUUACCAGGCCUUGACAUCCUGAGAACUUUCUAGAGAUAGAUUGGUGCCUUCGGGAGCUCAGUGACAGGUGUUGCAUGGCUGUCGUCAGCUCGUGUCGUGAGAUGUUGGGUUAAGUCCCGUAACGAGCGCAACCCUUAUCCUUAUUUGCCAGCACGUAAUGGUGGGAACUCUAAGGAGACUGCCGGUGACAAACCGGAGGAAGGAGAGGAUGAUGUCAAGUCAUCAUGGCCCUUACGGCCUGGGCUACACACGUGCUACAAUGGAGAGUACAGAGGGCUGCAAACCCGCGAGGGGGAGCUAAUCCCAAAAAACUUUUCGUAGUCCGGAUCGGAGUCUGCAACUCGACUCCGUGAAGUCGGAAUCGCUAG
rnacentral:rRNA from 1 species